ACGCACGCUGGCGGCGUGCUUCACCCAUGCAAGUCGAACGGAAAGGCCCCUUUGGGGGUACUCGAGUGGCGACCGGGUGAGUAACACGUGAGUAACCUGCCCUUGACUUCGGGAUAACUUCAGGAAACUGGGGCUAAUACCGGAUAGGAAUCCUUGCUGCAUGGUGGGGGUUGGAAAGCUUCGGCGGUUUUGGAUGGACUCGCGGCUUAUCAGCUUGUUGGUGGGGUAGUGGCUUACCAAGGCUUUGACGGGUAGCCGGCCUGAGAGGGCGACCGGCCACAUUGGGACUGAGAUACGGCCCAGACUCCUACGGGAGGCAGCAGUGGGGAAUAUUGCACAAUGGGCGGAAGCCUGAUGCAGCAACGCCGCGUGCGGGAUGACGGCCUUCGGGUUGUAAACCGCUUUCAGCAGGGGCGAAGCUUGUGGUGACGGUACCUGCAGAAGAAGCACCGGCUAACUACGUG
rnacentral:rRNA from 1 species